rnacentral:rRNA from 1 species
GACGAACGCUGGCGGCGUGCUUAACACAUGCAAGUCGAACGGAAAGGCCCUGCUUGCAGGGUACUCGAGUGGCGAACGGGUGAGUAACACGUGGGUGAUCUGCCCUGCACUUCGGGAUAAGCCUGGGAAACUGGGUCUAAUACCGGAUAGGAGCCAUUUUUAGUGUGAUGGUUGGAAAGUUUUUUGGGUGUAGGAUGAGCUCGCGGCCUAUCAGCUUGUUGGUGGGGGAAUGGCCUACCAAGGCGGCGACGGGUAGCCGGCCUGGGAGGGUGGACGGCCACAUUGGGACUGAGAUACGGCCCAGACUCCUACGGGAGGCAGCAGUGGGGAAUAUUGCACAAUGGGCGCAAGCCUGAUGCAGCGACGCCGCGUGGGGGAUGACGGCCUUCGGGUUGUAAACGCCUUUCGCUAGGGACGAAGCUUUUUGUGACGGUACCUAGAUAAGAAGCACCGGCUAACUACGUG